GAUCCAUGCAGUUUGGCGCACACGAAGCAAGCCAGCAAAGCCCAGGAGAAUGCCGACAGCCCCAAACUGGAGCACCCUCCCGUCUGCUCACCCUUGCGGCUUGGAGCUUCUCCCGCAUGCGCUCCCUCAUGGAAAACUCUGCGAAGCCCGUUCUGGAUGUUGAAGGAAUUGGAGGGCUUCACGCGAGCAACCAUGAGAUGUGCUGCAGCCCCGCUUUGGAUGCAGGAAGGUGUGUCUUGGCUUGGAGGCUGACAGGGAAAAUGGCUCUGCCAGGACUGUCGCCCCAACUUAACCAAGAAUAAAGGGAAUGGCACCUGAGGCCCAACUCAGAUUCCACUGGGGAGAGGCCCUGACAUUCAUGGAUUGGGAACAGACGCCUAAGGAGUCAAGCCUUUCACUUUGAGCAGAGAAAUCUCUUCUCCAGGCCUUGGCCACAGCCCCGCUCAGUGGCAUAGAGAUGCAGUGUGUUUUGUCCAUAGUAUGAAAUACGGACAACACAUCUGGAACCAGUGGGCAGCUGAUGUGUGGCAGGCACUGUGACACACGUCAAAUGCACCGUCUCCUCGGUCUCCUCCUGGCAGACCCUGGGUGUCCCUGACCCAGGCAGGAGACGACACAGACUCUGAGGCCCUGUGUGGUUUAAUAAAAUGGUGGACAUUUUCCAUUUUCUUCUUAACCAUUUCCCUUAUACCUUCAAAAGACACACCAUGUGCUCC
rnacentral:lncRNA from 1 species